rnacentral:rRNA from 1 species
GAUGAACGCUGGCGGCGUGCUUAACACAUGCAAGUCGAACGAAGCACUUUAUUUGAUUUCCUUCGGGACUGAUUAUUUUGUGACUGAGUGGCGGACGGGUGAGUAACGCGUGGGUAACCUGCCUUGUACAGGGGGAUAACAGUUGGAAACGGCUGCUAAUACCGCAUAAGCGCACAGCAUCGCAUGAUGCAGUGUGAAAAACUCCGGUGGUAUAAGACGGACCCGCGUUGGAUUAGCUAGUUGGUGAGGUAACGGCCCACCAAGGCGACGAUCCAUAGCCGACCUGAGAGGGUGACCGGCCACAUUGGGACUGAGACACGGCCCAAACUCCUACGGGAGGCAGCAGUGGGGAAUAUUGCACAAUGGGCGAAAGCCUGAUGCAGCGACGCCGCGUGAGCGAAGAAGUAUUUCGGUAUGUAAAGCUCUAUCAGCAGGGAAGAUAAUGACGGUACCUGACUAAGAAGCACCGGCUAAAUACGUG